rnacentral:rRNA from 1 species
CGAACGGGUGAGUAACGCGUGAGGAACCUGCCUCAAAGAGGGGGACAACAGUUGGAAACGACUGCUAAUACCGCAUAAGCCCACGGGUCGGCAUCGACCAGAGGGAAAAGGAGCAAUCCGCUUUGAGAUGGCCUCGCGUCCGAUUAGCUAGUUGGUGAGGUAAUGGCCCACCAAGGCAACGAUCGGUAGCCGGACUGAGAGGUUGAACGGCCACAUUGGGACUGAGACACGGUCCAA